UACGAAGGGGGCUAGCGUUGCUCGGAAUUACUGGGCGUAAAGCGCACGUAGGCGGCUUUUUAAGUCGGAGGUGAAAUCCUGGAGCUCAACUCCAGAACUGCCUUCGAUACUGAAGAGCUCGAGUCCGGGAGAGGUGAGUGGAACUGCGAGUGUAGAGGUGAAAUUCGUAGAUAUUCGCAAGAACACCAGUGGCGAAGGCGGCUCACUGGCCCGGUACUGACGCUGAGGUGCGAAAACGUGGGGAGCAAACAGG
rnacentral:rRNA from 1 species